GCCUGGGUGGCUCAGUCGGUUAAGCAUCUGACUUUGGCUCAGGUCAUGAUCUCGCGGUCCGUGGGUUCGAGCCCCACGUCGGGCU